rnacentral:rRNA from 1 species
AUUGAUACUCCCCUAGUAGCGGCGAGCGAACGGGGACCAGCCGAGCCUUGAAUGUGAAUAGAAUGGUCUGGAAAGGCCAACCAUAGUGGGUGACAGUCCCGUAUAUGAAGCACGAUAGGACGUAUUAAGUAGGGCGGAACACGUGAAAUUCUGUCUGAAGAUCGGAGGACCACCUUCGAAGGCUAAGUACUCCUUACUGACCGAUAGUGAACCAGUACCGUGAGGGAAAGGUGAAAA